CCAACCAUAGUGACAUAAUCUUGAGCCAGGUUGCACCUCAGAUAGGGAAUGAUGGCACUAGUUCCCAAAAGCUUGGAUGGGACUUUAAGUACUUGCAACGAGCAGAGCAGGAUCGAACAUGUGCAGCUAUAUAGGAGUAUACUCAUGCAUGUAGAAGUUGCGUCGUGCAACAUGUUAUUAGCUACCGUCCAAGCUGUCAAAGUGUGCAUGGCUCUUGUCUAUCUUUUCUAGGUGCUUUCAGACAUUCACGUACUAAUUACAGACAUGGGAAGACUAUAAGACGUCAAGAUGAAAGGCUCCUAGCAGCUCUCAGUGUUCCCAACGAAACUGGCAGAAUGGCAGUGGCUGAUUACAAGCUGCCUUUGGUGAACAAAAAAACCGUGACCACAUUAGAAUCCGGCAGAGCUCCAAUCCUGCAUUCUGAUGACACCUUACACAACGGCUCUCUGUUAUGGGGGGCUGGUACUUAAGAAGCUUUACUGCGGGCAUCCUACCCACUAUUUUCAGACUGUUUUGGUGGAAACUUAAGCUAGACUCUAGGCCAGCGGCGGAAAAAGAGCUUCAGGGACGUGCAUGUCUACAGUGUCAUGGAAGAUGCAUCAAAGGAUACUGGACCUGCCGCCAGCUGACAUGCCUUUCUUCCUCCUUAGUUCUGUUAAGAUGUGGGUUCAGUUUUUCUAGACAUGCAAUCCAUAAUAUACGCAGUCUAGUCAAUCAGUGCACGGCAUUACAUGCCAUUCAUUUCCUAUGUAUAUAUUUAGUCAGAAUCAAAGCAGGACAAGCACAUGUACAUAAUUUGCAAGAAUAAAAUUUUGUUUUUUGCUAAU
rnacentral:lncRNA from 1 species